rnacentral:rRNA from 1 species
AGUCUGGUGCCAGCAGCCGCGGUAAUUCCAGCUCCAAUAGCGUAUAUUAAAAUUGUUGCAGUUAAAAAGCUCGUAGUUGAAUUUCUGCUGCAUUACAUAUCUCUUGUUUGAGUUUGUUUUUGUGGCUUAUUUCGGUUUGAUUUUUUCUUUCCGGAUGAUUACUUUGAGAAAAUUAGAGUGCUCAAAGCAGGCUUUUGCCUUGAAUAGUUUAGCAUGGAAUAAUAAAGUAGGACUUUGGUUCUAUUUUGUUGGUUUUAGGUACCAAAGUAAUGGUUAAUAGGAACAGUUGGGGGCAUUCGUAUUUAACUGUCAGAGGUGAAAUUCUUAGAUUUGUUAAAGACGAACUACUGCGAAAGCAUUUGCCAAGGAUGUUUUCAUUAAUCAAGAACGAAAGUUAGGGGAUCGAAGACGAUCAGAUACCGUCGUAGUCCUAACCAUAAACUAUGCCGACUAGAGAUUGGAGGUCGUCAGUUUUUACGACUCCUUCAGCACC